CGAUUAAUUAUUGAUGAGGGUAAGACGCGAUAUAAAUUGUUCAGUUUUUGAUGCACAAAUCCAGUAGUAGCACCGCUAGACUUAGUAACUCCAGUAACCAUUGUGCCACCGAAAACAACACAAGGUCCAGAUCACUAGUACCGACGAACAUUUAGUAACGGUUACUGACGUAUACAAACUUUAUUUCUUCAAAGACCAUUUUCACACUUUCGUUUUAAGUGUUUUCGGAAUCUGAUUGUAACUUAACAGAUAAAAAUGAAAGUAGUAAUGAUCAAAAUAGUCAUGGUAGUUGUGUUAUUUGCUCUAAAUAUCAAAGUUUCAGAAUCAACCACACAGGAUUUAAUAGCAGAAGAACGACCCAGUUUAUUUCUUUCAUAUUUAUGUUUGCAAAGUGAACAUUUUAAAGAUUUUUGCUUAAAUGAUAUGGAGUCUAAGUCUAACGGUCCUGUUCAAAAUCUUUUGAGGAAUUUAAAAGCUCAAAGACAGCAGAAAUCAAGACAGUUGGGUAAUGAUGACUUAGUCAAGUUAGAAACGCCGACGAAACGAAGAACAGAAAAAGAAUCUGGAUUUUAUAGUAACUGGUGAGAAGAUGACCAAACGACCAAUGUAUUUCCAUCUACAUUACAUUGAAUCAAACCGUUUAUCAUCAACUUAUUUGUCAUAUUAUUCAUUUUAUGUCCAUCAGACUUGACAUAUACAGUUCAUUAUUUCGAACUCUGUUAACUCGAAAACCUGAGACAUGCCGAAUUAAUUUAAAAUCGCACAGAUGUGAAUGGAUGGUACUAUUUUAAAUGUGAUGAAUACGGAUAUAAAGGAAUUUGUAACUUCUUUAUGAUUUCCAGCAAAUCCUCCCUUUCAUCAUGUUAAAACGCUCUUUAAUUUGUUUAGAUGAAAAUAUGAGAAUACCCUUGUAUAUUGCCUUAUUAGGUUUAAUGUUUUGUAUAAUUGCUGAUUAUAGCGUAUUAAGAAUAUCCACAUAGCAUUCCAUUAAGCUAAAUCGUUUAUGAGCGGUAUAAAAUGCCUCCUUUGAAAUAGAACUACACAAUUUUAUUGAUAAGUGAACAAUAAUAUUGGUCGUUAAAAUAUAACUUAUCCCACUUCGUCUCUCAAAAGCUAGGUUUUUUUUAAAUUGUAUUGCCAUCACAUUCUUUUAGACUUUAAAUGUUUUAUUAAAUUAUAUUGUUACUUUUCUAUUAAGUCCUACUUAGAUAUCAAAAUUAUUUCUUUAGGACUUUCUUUUUUCACGGUUUUUAGUUGAAAUUUGGUUGUCAUACAUUACAGUAUCCAGAUGGAAAAAAAGGUUAAUAAAUUGAAAAAAAAUAUUACAUAUUGAAACUA